UACGUAGGGGGCUAGCGUUGUCCGGAAUCAUUGGGCGUAAAGAGCGUGUGGGCGGCCCGGUAAGUCCGCUGUGAAAGUCGGGGGCUCAACCCUCGAAUGCCGGUGGAUACUGUCGGGCUAGAGUGCGGAAGAGGCGAGUGGAAUUCCUGGUGUGAGCGGUGAAAUGCGCAAAUAUCAGGAGGAACACCGAUUCGAAGGCAGCUCGCUGGGACGUAACUGACGCUGAGACGGCGAAA
rnacentral:rRNA from 1 species